CAGUCGAACGAGAGAUGAGGAGCUUGCUUCCUCAAUCGAGUGGCGAACGGGUGAGUAACGCGUGAGGAACCUGCCUCAAAGAGGGGGACAACAGUUGGAAACGACUGCUAAUACCGCAUAAGCCCACAGGUCGGCAUCGACCAGAGGGAAAAGGAGCAAUCCGCUUUGAGAUGGCCUCGCGUCCGAUUAGCUAGUUGGUGAGGUAACGGCCCACCAAGGCGACGAUCGGUAGCCGGACUGAGAGGUUGAACGGCCACAUUGGGACUGAGACACGGCCCAGACUCCUACGGGAGGCAGCAGUGGGGAAUAUUGCACAAUGGGGGAAACCCUGAUGCAGCGACGCCGCGUGGAGGAAGAAGGUCUUCGGAUUGUAAACUCCUGUUGUUGAGGAAGAUAAUGACGGUACUCAACAAGGAAGUGACGGCUAACUACGUGCCAGCAGCCGCGGUAAAACGUAGGUCACAAGCGUUGUCCGGAAUUACUGGGUGUAAAGGGAGCGCAGGCGGGAAGACAAGUUGGAAGUGAAAUCUAUGGGCUCAACCCAUAAACUGCUUUCAAAACUGUUUUUCUUGAGUAGUGCAGAGGUAGGCGGAAUUCCCGGUGUAGCGGUGGAAUGCGUAGAUAUCGGGAGGAACACCAGUGGCGAAGGCGGCCUACUGGGCACCAACUGACGCUGAGGCUCGAAAGUGUGGGUAGCAAACAGGAUUAGAUACCCUGGUAGUCCACACCGUANACGAUGAUUACUAGGUGUUGGAGNAUUGACCCCUUCAGUGCCGCAGUUAACACAAUAAGUAAUCCACCUGGGGAGUACGACC
rnacentral:rRNA from 1 species